UGUAAUCAGUGUUCGGCGAAUGUUGAUGGCGUCAAUGUAAGGCGGCUCCGUCCUUGAGACUGUAUGUACUUACCGCGUAGUUGAGGAAUUGAUUGUUCUGCUGUUAUACUUUUUGCUCUUGUCUAUCUACUUGAAAAUUAUUUAACUUUUGUGAAACGACUUAAACUUAGUGCAAUAUUUCGUUAUAACAUAAACAAUUGUUAAUUUUCAUUGAAAAUUAUCUGAUUUAAUCUUAUAUUUUACACUUAUACUCAGUGCUUAUGUUUUGUUUUAACUUUAAAAGUUAAUAAAAAAAUUAAUUUAUUUCUCAAUAACCAACUUAAUAAAAUUAAAACUUAAUUAUUUGUCUUAAAAAGUAACUAUUUAGUAUUAAUUACUUUAAUACAGAAAUAAUGUCUUCAAGAUACAGGGAUUCUGGUAAUCCUGAUUGUAAAAUAUAUGUGGGUGACUUGGGAUCUUCAGCAUCAAAACAAGAUUUAGAGGAUGCAUUUUCUUAUUAUGGCCCAAUUCAUAAUGUUUGGGUCGCGCGUAACCCACCUGGAUUUGCCUUUGUUGAGUUUGAAGAUCCUAGAGAUGCUGAAGAUGCUGUUAGAGGAUUAGAUGGAAGGAGUAUUUGUGGCAGAAGAGUUCGAGUAGAACUGUCAAAUGCUAGCUCACGUAAAGGUUCUCAACGUGGAGGACCCCAACGUAGAGGACGUCCAUUCCAUCCUGAAGAUAAAUGUUAUGAAUGUGGUGAUCGUGGGCAUUACGCUCGUGAUUGUCGUAGAUUUAAAGGAGGACGGCGCAGGAUGUUCGGCUGAGAGCGUCUUGUCUCGUAAGUGUCGAUCGUCUAGAGCUCUCAACCAAAAUAAAAUUAAUUGAUCUUCUACAAACAUUUUGUGUUAGUCGUCGGACAAUGGUGCACAUAUCUAUCUGUCUGCGUUUUUCGAUGUACUGAGCUACUUGAACCCCAUCAGCCCAACUAUUGAUUUUUAAUCUGAUGCUCAUUAGAUAUCGUUGAACGUACACAGAUGUCCUAGAAACUGUAAGAAUUUUUUAUAAUAUCUGCAUAAUGACAAUGGUUAUCUACAUAGAAUGAUAAUUUUAAGAAAAUGUUCAACUUCAUUUUUUUAUGUCCUAUACACCAUCGCGUUCAAGAUCACGUUCUCGCUCAUAUAGUCGAAGUCGAAAUUCUCGAUCAGCUUCAAAAUCAGUAUCACACUCACGUUCACAUUCUAGAUCAACAGUAUCCAAACGUUCCAGAUCUAGAUCUCGAAGCCG